CAAUAGCGUAUAUUAAAGUUGUUGCAGUUAAAAAGCUCGUAGUUGGAUUUCUGGUAGGAUGACUGUGCCCUCAGUAGAGUGUGCGCUGGCGUCUUGCCAUCCUUCUGUUAACCUUUGGGAGCUUCACCGCUCCCUUUGGGGCUCAGAUAUUUUACCUUGAGAAAAUUAGAGUGUUUCAGGCAGGCUAGCGCCGGAAUACAUUAGCAUGGAAUAAUGGAAUAGGACUUUUGCCUCUUCUGUUGGUCAUGGGGUUCGAGUAAUGAUUAAUAGGGAUAGUUGGGGGCAUUAGUACUUCACUGUCAGAGGUGAAAUUCUCGGAUUUGUGAAAGACUAACUUAUGCGAAAGCAUUCGCCAAGGAUGUUUUCAUUAA
rnacentral:rRNA from 1 species